rnacentral:lncRNA from 1 species
CAGAUGCUGAGAUCCAAAGUCCAGGUCUCUGCUGCAGCAGUACUCUGAUACACUGAACUCUGAUACAGCACUACUCUGAUACACUGAACUCUGAUACAGCAGUACUCGGAUACACUGAACUCUGAUACAGCAGUACUCGGAUACACUGAACUCUGAUACAGCACUACUCUGAUACACUGAACUCUGAUACAGCAGUACUCUGAUACACUGAACUCUGAUACAGCAGUACUCGGAUACACUGAACUCUGAUACAGCAGUACUCGGAUACACUGAACUCUGAUACAGCAGUACUCGGAUACACUGAACUCUGAUACAGCAGUACUCUGAUACACCGAACUCUGAUACAGCAGUACUCUGAUACACUGAACUCUGAUACAGCAGUACUCUGAUACACCGAACUCUGAUACAGCAGUACUCGGAUACACUGAACUCUGAUACAGCAGUACUCUGAUACACCGAACUCUGAUACAGCAGUACUCGGAUACACUGAACUCUGAUACAGCAGUACUCUGAUACACUGAACUCUGAUACAGCAGUACUCUGAUACACUGAACUCUGAUACAGCAGUACUCGGAUACACUGAACUCUGAUACAGCAGUACUCGGAUACACUGAACUCUGAUACAGCAGUACUCGGAUACACUGAACUCUGAUACAGCAGUACUCUGAUACACUGAACUCUGAUACAGCAGUACUCUGAUACACUGAACUCUGAUACAGCAGUACUCGGAUACACUGAACUCUGAUACAGCAGUACUCGGAUACACUGAACUCUGAUACAGCAGUACUCGGAUACACUGAACUCUGAUACAGCAGUACUCGGAUACACUGAACUCUGAUACAGCAGUACUCGGAUACACUGAACUCUGAUACAGCAGUACUCGGAUACACUGAACUCUGAUACAGCAGUACUCGGAUACACUGAACUCUGAUACAGCAGUACUCUGAUACACUGAACUCUGAUACAGUUCUUCAGUACAGAGCCAUCUCUAGCCUCUCUGACUUGGUUGUCUGUGUCUGCAGGACCUCAGAUUGUACCUGCCCCCCAGCCUUGAGCAGCCCACCUAGAGGGUGGAGUCUUCUGACCUUGGUGGAGUCUAUUGUAUGCCGCAUCUGCAGCUUCCUGUAAGAAGCCACUACUUGCUGAGCAGCUGAGUUUUCCUUCCAGAUGAGAUUCUGGCAAAGUAGGGGAUAGGCUCCCCACCCCCGCCCUUUAAAUUCAGACCUUAGAAUUAAAACAUUGAGCCUUGAUCAGAG